rnacentral:misc_RNA from 1 species
CUUUAUUAAUUUCUUAUAUAUAAUUUAUAUUAAAUAUAAAAAUAUAUUUUUUAAAUAAAAUAGACGAUAAGACCCUAUUAAAUUUUACUUAUAGUUUAACUGGGGAAGUUUUAAAAAUAAAAUUUUUUAUAAAAAUAAAAAUAAAUCUAAUAAAAUUAAAAUUAAAUUAAAUUACUAUAGGGAUAACAGCAUUAUAUUUUUUAAAAGUUCAUAUUAAAAAAAAUGAUUGUGACCUCGAUGUUGAAUUAUAUUUUCUUUAUUAAUGCAAUAAUUAUAAAAGUAGAUCUGUUCGAUCUUUAAAAUAUUACAUGAUUUGAGUUCAAACCGGUGUAAACCAGGUUGGUUUCUAUCUUUUUAUAAAUUCAUAUAUAUAUAUAUAUAUAUAUACAUAAAUUUUUCAAGUACGAAAGGAAAAAAAAAUUUUUAUUUUAAUUAAUUAGCAAUUAAUAUGCAUUAGAUUUAGAAUCUAAAUAAACUAUU